UACGGGGGGAGCAAGCGUUGUUCGGAUUUAUUGGGCGUAAAGAGCGUGUAGGCGGCCAGGUAGGUCUGCUGUGAAAACUCGAGGCUUAACCUCGAGCUGUCGGCGGAAACCAUCUGGCUAGAGUCCGGAAGAGGAGAAUGGAAUUCCCGGUGUAGCGGUGAAAUGCGCAGAUAUCGGGAAGAACACCCGUGGCGAAGGCGGUUCUCUGGGACGGUACUGACGCUGAGACGCGAAAGCGUGGGGAGCGAACAGG
rnacentral:rRNA from 1 species